rnacentral:tRNA from 3 species
GUCCCUAUAGUUCAACGGAUCGAAUGCAGCCCUGCGAAGGCUGAGAUUGAGGUUCAAUUCCUCAUAGGGACA